rnacentral:rRNA from 1 species
UACGAAGGGGGCUAGCGUUGCUCGGAAUCACUGGGCGUAAAGCGCACGUAGGCGGAUUGUUAAGUCAGGGGUGAAAUCCUGGAGCUCAACUCCAGAACUGCCUUUGAUACUGGCGAUCUUGAGUCCGGGAGAGGUGAGUGGAACUGCGAGUGUAGAGGUGAAAUUCGUAGAUAUUCGCAAGAACACCAGUGGCGAAGGCGGCUCACUGGCCCGGUACUGACGCUGAGGUGCGAAAGCGUAGGGAGCAAACAGG